rnacentral:rRNA from 1 species
GUUAGGAAUAUUGGACAAUGGGCGAAAGCCUGAUCCAGCCAUGCCGCGUGAACGAUGAAGGCCUUCGGGUUGUAAAGUUCUUUAGCCGAUGAUUAUAAUGACUGUAGUCGGAAAAUAAGCCCCGGCUAACUUCGUGCCAGCAGCCGCGGUAAUACGAAGGGGGCGAGCGUUAUUCGGAAUCACUGGGCGUAAAGCGUGCGUAGGCGGUUUUGUAAGUUAGGAGUGAAAGCCCAGGGAUCAACCUUGGAAUUGCUCUUAAAACUGCAAGGCUCGAAUCUCGGAGAGGAUAGCGGAAUUUCCAGUGUAGCAGUGAAAUGCGUAGAUAUUGGAAGGAACACCAGUGGCGUAAGCGGCUAUCUGGACGAGUAUUGACGCUGAGGCACGAAAGCGUGGGGAUCAAACAGGAUUAGAAACCCUUGUAGUCC